rnacentral:rRNA from 1 species
AAGGAAUAUUGGUCAAUGGACGCAAGUCUGAACCAGCCAUGCCGCGUGAAGGAUGAAGGUCCUCUGGAUUGUAAACUUCUUUUAUCUGGGACGAAACCCGGGCAUUCUUGCCCGAUUGACGGUACCAGAGGAAUAAGCACCGGCUAACUCCGUGCCAACAGCCGCGGUAAUACGGGGGGUGCGAGCGUUGUCCGGAAUCACUGGGCGUAAAGGGCGCGUAGGUGGUCUGAUAAGGGUGUGGUGAAAGUCCGGGGCUCAACCCCGGAUCUGCCGUGCCGACUGUCAGACUCGAGGACUGUAGAGGCAGGCGGAAUUCCGGGUGUAGCGGUGGAAUGCGUAGAGAUCCGGAGGAAGACCGGUGGCGAAGGCGGCCUGCUGGGCAGUUACUGACACUGAGGCGCGACAGCGUGGAGAGCAAAC